GCCUGUUUAGCUACAUUUGGUUAGAGCAAUUGAUUCGUAAUCAAUAGGUGAGCAGUUCGAAUCUGCUAACAGGCACCA
rnacentral:tRNA from 1 species